rnacentral:rRNA from 1 species
AUGAACGCUGGCGGCGUGCCUAAUACAUGCAAGUCGAGCGAACGGACGAGAAGCUUGCUUCUCUGAUGUUAGCGGCGGACGGGUGAGUAACACGUGGAUAACCUACCUAUAAGACUGGGAUAACUUCGGGAAACCGGAGCUAAUACCGGAUGAUAUUUUGAACCGCAUGGUUCAAAAGUGAAAGACGGUCUUGCUGUCACUUAUAGAUGGAUCCGCGCUGCAUUAGCUAGUUGGUAAGGUAACGGCUUACCAAGGCAACGAUGCAUAGCCAACCUGAGAGGGUGAUCGGCCACACUGGAACUGAGACACGGUCCAGACUCCUACGGGAGGCAGCAGUAGGGAAUCUUCCGCAAUGGGCGAAAGCCUGACGGAGCAACGCCGCGUGAGUGAUGAAGGUCUUCGGAUCGUAAAACUCUGUUAUUAGGGAAGAACAUAUGUGUAAGUAACUGUGCACAUCUUGACGGUACCUAAUCAGAAAGCCACGGCUAACUACGUG